UUAGAGGUUAAUUUAAGAACCUAAUAAAAACUUAUACCUAAAUGAUUUUUUUUAAAUAGAAGAAAUUUAUUUGAAAAAUUUAUAUUUGUCUUAACACUUAUAGGUGUCUAAUAUCCAUUUAAAAGCUAUAAUGAAACCCUAACCUUUAUAAAUAACCUAUCAUAUUUGUUUAUUUUUCAUAAAAAAAAAACCAAAACUUCCACCUCUAUAUUCUAUAUAUUCUAGACUAUCUUACAUACACAAAAGUUCUGCAAUUUAAAAAAAAAAAAAG
rnacentral:lncRNA from 1 species